UACGUAGGGUGCGAGCGUUGUCCGGAAUUAUUGGGCGUAAAGGGCUCGUAGGCGGUUUGUCGCGUCGGGAGUGAAAACCUUGGGCUUAACUCCGAGCCUGCGUUCGAUACUGGAUGGCUAGAGUCUGGUAGGGGGAUCUGGAAUUCCUGGUGUAGCGGUGGAAUGCGCAGAUAUCAGGAGGAACACCGAUGGCGAAGGCAGGUCUCGUGGGCAUUAACUGACGCUGAGGAGCGAAAGCAUGGGGAGCGAACAGG
rnacentral:rRNA from 1 species